UCGGUCAGUGAUGAUAAAAAAACCUGGUAUUGAUAUUGAUGAAAAUAGCAACAUGCACUACCAGCUGAGACUGA